rnacentral:antisense_RNA from 1 species
CAGAAAUGCCACAAUGUUGAAAGGAAUGCAUUACAAUUCCCACAAACACACACCCCUCCCUGCAACCACUACAAGAUAUGCAAGCAACUCUGAGCUGACUUGGAUCUAAUUCUUCCCAAUUCACGCCACAAGCCCAACUCAUCGGCUGAUACCUGAGGAUGAUCCACUGCUCACUGAGCGUGGUCAGGGAGCGCCGCUGUCGGACGAGCAUCUUCAUCAAAUGUGCUGAGAACCCUCUGCACCGCUCCACGUUGCCCAUGCCCAUUUCCUGGCAGAAGGAGAAGGAAAAACAUGCUGAAGGGGCUGCUGACAAACACCACCCACAGAUGUGCCUCUAGAAAGUUGUUUCUACUAUAAGCGUCAGACAUGCCGCACUCUAGAGGUGACACAUUCAUUUUUUUGAGCAGUGUUUCUCCAAUUAUGCUUGCACAGAUCAUUGAUAUUCCACAGACAGGAACUGGAUUUAACUCCAAAA